UCCUUCGGGGCGAGUAAAGUGGCGCACGGGUGAGUAACGCGUGGAUAAUCUACCCUUAAGAUGGGGAUAACGGCUGGAAACGGUCGCUAAUACCGAAUACGCUCCCGAUUUUAUCAUUGGGGGGAAAGAUGGCCUCUGCUUGCAAGCUAUCGCUUAAGGAUGAGUCCGCGUCCCAUUAGCUAGUUGGCGGGGUAACGGCCCACCAAGGCAACGAUGGGUAGCCGGUCUGAGAGGAUGACCGGCCACACUGGAACUGGAACACGGUCCAGACUCCUACGGGAGGCAGCAGUGGGGAAUAUUGCGCAAUGGGCGAAAGCCUGACGCAGCGACGCCGCGUGAGGGAUGAAGGUUCUCGGAUCGUAAACCUCUGUCAGGGGGGAAGAAACCCCCUCGUGUGAAUAAUGCGAGGGCUUGACGGUACCCCCAAAGGAAGCACCGGCUAACUCCGUGCCAGCAGCCGCGGUAAUACGGAGGGUGCAAGCGUUAAUCGGAAUCACUGGGCGUAAAGCGCACGUAGGCGGCUUGGUAAGUCAGGGGUGAAAUCCCACAGCCCAACUGUGGAACUGCCUUUGAUACUGCCAGGCUUGAGUACCGGAGAGGGUGGCGGAAUUCCAGGUGUAGGAGUGAAAUCCGUAGAUAUCUGGAGGAACACCGGUGGCGAAGGCGGCCACCUGGACGGUAACUGACGCUGAGGUGCGAAAGCGUGGGUAGCAAACAGGAUUAGAUACCCUGGUAGUCCACGCUGUAAACGAUGGGUGCUGGGUGCUGGG
rnacentral:rRNA from 1 species